AUUAAAUGCAAUAAUUUGACCUCCACAUUGGAGAACUGGAUGCGACUGGUGUGACAGAAACUUCACUGGGUAGUAAGUCUGAGAAACUUUGUAUCAUUUCCCUCCCACCCUUGGAAGUGCAGGUGUCUCGCCAAGACCUACCGCCAUCUUGUCACUUCUUGCUCCUUUGGCCCUAUUUACGUGAUGCUUUUGAUAUUUGGGGCAAGCAUGAUAUCUUUCAAGAUAUUUAGAUGCCCCGGGUCCCUUCAGAGUGUGUUAGGACAGAGAAUGUGAGUGUUAACACGGCCCGAGGGCAAGACCGCAAGGGUAUAGUAUUGUUGGCUCCAUAUACAUGUGAACUAUAUAGAUUCUCCUUCAUCAUAGGGUUGGAAACACUUAUUUUCGCAAUUAGUAUCUGGACGCCAUGUACCUGAUUUGGGUUUAUGAUCCGGUCAAGACGCCAUAUUGACACAAAAGCUACACUUGGAUCCACUUCCUGUAAAAUCUUGGACAAUUCUGUUCAAACUUUGGGUUGCUGGUGAAACCAUCUGCUGAAUGCUAUUAAUGUGCCUGACAAUAUGCUAAGGGAUUUAUAUGACACAAUUCUCUUAAUGUCCACUGCAAUCCUCUUGGGUUUUAGAAAAUGGACUCAUGUGUCUAGUGCACCAGGUGAGAGACGAGAGGGGUGGAAAUGAGGGCCAUGCCAAUGGCAGAGACCAGUGAAUGAAGACAGAAUCAAUCACCAACCGCAUGUGAAUGGAUUUGCCUUGGGAAGUAGAAGACGCCACCAAGAGACUGUAUUGUGCAGUAAGACAGUUACAGGCUCACCUCCAUGGAUCUGCGGGGAGCCUUGGCUCUAUGAGCUCCUUGAUGUGAGACUUGGAGGGAGCUGCAUAACCUCUCAGCCUCCGCGUCAGUCCGUCUGAAAUCCCUCCCUAAAGGCCUCCUGUGCUAGCUGCGUGCUUCAUGCAUAGUGUGCACUUAACUAAUAUUUGUUCUGCACCUUUAUAUUCAUUUAAUUUCCCUGAUUCCCAUGGCAACCCAGACGUCUUAUAUCACCAUCUCAUCUCUUUGUUCUGAAAACUUCAAUUCAAUCUUCCUCCCUUUUGCAUCCUGUUGCAGAUUUUUUCUGCACACCAUAUUUAGAAUUACUAUCCUAAACGAUUAUUCCCACAUACAAUAUCCUUAUACAGUAAUUGGCGGUAGGUCAUUCUUUCUUGUGAACGAAAUGUCUUAGCUACUCAUUGUCUGUGACGGGGAAUGGUGGGUCUUUUCAGAUAUUAGCAUAGGAUUUGGGCAGAUGUACCCGAGUAUAGUAACUGAAGCUUAGGGCCAACGCCAUUAUAUCCUUACCUACCGGGCCAUCCCAAGAGACCGUGUGCACUGAGAACGAGGCAAUGCAGAGAUGAGUGAUUUAGGUUGGUUCUCAUGAGAAAAUCUUUUAACUGAGAUGCAUCAACCUUAAUGAGCUAGAUGCUUAUAUUUUAUCCCUUUCAUUCGGAGAAAGGAAAAACUACACAUGCACGUUCAUGCAUGCCCUUGCACGGGCAAACACAUUUGCAUAUAAAUUUGUAUUUACCCUGAUCCCUCAUAUUACCUGCAUCUACCUUCAAUCUAUGGGCAAUUCUGAUCUUCGCUGUGUGCAGAAUACAUCCCACAUAUGAUGAGGGUCUAAUUCCACGGCUCCCUCUGUAUCCUUGCUCAUGGUCCCCACUUGGCUGCUGAAAUUGUCCACUCCCUGGCCUGCCAGCUUUUGUUCUUGCCUCUCUAGAGUCUAUUUCCCACACAGUGGCCAGAGUGAGAUUUUAAUAACCUAAGCCAAAUUAAUAUUUCCCAAUGUAAAACCCUCUAGUGGCUUCUUCUAAUAGGAAGUGUAAAUCUAUUUUACUCAUCCUGACUGGAAAGAAUCUACACAUGAUGGUCCUUUGCACCUUGCCAAACCUGCUUCCUACCAUUUUCUCCUCCAUUCAAUGUAUACUACUGGUUUUCUUCCUUUCCUUCGUUCUUUCUUUCCUUCUUUCCUUCCUUCCCUCCUUCCUUCCUUCCUUCUUCAUUUAGAUAUCAUUGAUAUACAAAUAAUUGCUCAGAUUUAAUAUACCUCUUGAUGAGUUUCUACAUAUGUAUUAUACACUCAUGCUAUUAUCACCACAACCAAAAUACUAAACAUAUCCAUUAUAUCCAAAACUUUCUUUGUGUUCACAUGUGUGUGUUUUGAUAAGAACACGUAACAUGAGAACCAGCCUAUUAACACAUUUUUAAGUGCAAAAUACUGUGUUGUUAACUAUAGGUACCAAGUUGUGCAGCAGAGCUCUAGAACUUGAAUUCAUCUUGCUUAACAGACUUGCCAAAUAAUUCCCCAUUUUCCCUGCGCCCCUGGCUCCUGGCAACAACCAUCAUUCUAUUCUCUGUUUCUAUGACUUUGGUUAUUUUAGACACUUCAUAUAACUGGAAUCAUGGAGUAUUUGUCCUUCCGUCUUUUCCCUUUGUCGAAAAAUCUCUGCUCUUUCUGAUCUCAUAGCCUGUUUCAUGGGAUGCCCUGUCUUUUCACAACGUUCUUCCCCAACAUUCUACUAGAGCUGCAUCCUAGUUACUAUGUAGGUAUUGCUCCUAUGGUACCUCUUUGUUGACAUUUCUUGUAUCAAUCCACCCUCUUCUUAUAUAAAGUCACUCUCUCACAUGACCGUAUUAUAUUUUAAUUAUGAAUAUUAAUGCCUGUCUUAAAUUAUUUUUUAUUUACUUACUUGCUUCUUAUGAUUGAUUAUCUUCUUACCACCCGCACCUAGACUGUGUAUCAGUGCUGAGAACAAUGUGUAUUCCAGCAGGAGACACUCACUCAACUCUUGCUUGAUGAUAAGUGAGUCUGAAUCAGAUCAUACAAAUUCAUGCCACCAGAUCACCCCACUUUACAGAUGGCCAAACAGCCUUAUUCACCCCCAAGAGGGUUUGGGGCUCCCACCCCUACCACAUUGUCCCUUCCUUCCGCCAUGUUUUGGUUGGCUUUUAUUUUUCUCCAUAAUAACUUCCUCAUAACACAGCACACUUAGGAAAUAGAUAACGGCAGUACAACUUAUUUAUUAUAUGUCUGAGAGUAAUUUUUAGAGCUUUAAAAUGUUAUGUACAAAUUUUAUAGAGAAAUGAGAGAGGGAUAACCCAACCUUAUAGAUUUGGGUGGAUGAUGGCUCCCCAGGUCCCCAUAUUUUGUGGUAUCACGAUUACAGCAAUGUUCAUCAAACUUCUGCUUUCUAUUCCAUCCACCAGUCCCCACGUCUCGCUGUUCUUUUUUCCUGGGCUGUUUUUUUCACUAAGAAUUUCCUCUUAUUCUUGAAGCCAAAUGUGUACACGCCACAUGCUUCUCAGAAUGGAGGCAGCUGUCUUCAGAAUUGUUUGUCUUUGUGUCGUUACUGCAUUGUUAUUAAAAGUGCUCAUUCAUUUACUAAUCCUUAAAUCAGUGAU